rnacentral:rRNA from 1 species
AGAGUUUGAUCCUGGCUCAGAAUGAACGCUGGCGGCGUGCUUAACACAUGCAAGUCGAACGGUAACAGAUGGAAGCUUGCUUCCAUGCUGACGAGUGGCGCACGGGUGAGUAAUGCAUAGGUAACGUGCCCCUUAGUCUGGGAUAGCCACUGGAAACGGUGAUUAAUACCGGAUACUCCUUCUACCUUAAUGGUAGUCGGGAAAGUUUUUCGCUAAGGGAUCGGCCUAUGUUGCAUCAGGUAGUUGGUGAGGUAAUGGCUCACCAAGCCUAUGACACAUAGCGGGUCUGAGAGGAUGAUCCGCCACUGGUACUGAGACACGGACCAGACUCCUACGGGAGGCAGCAGUGGGGAAUAUUGCACAAUGGACGCAAGUCUGAUGCAGCAACGCCGCGUGGAGGAUGACACAUUUCGGUGCGUAAACUCCUUUUAUAUAAGAAGAUAAUGACGGUAUUAUAUGAAUAAGCACCGGCUAACUCCGUGCCAGCAGCCGCGGUAAUACGGAGGGUGCAAGCGUUAUUCGGAAUCACUGGGCGUAAAGGGUGCGUAGGCGGUUUGGAAAGUCAGAUGUGAAAGCCUAUGGCUUAACCAUAGAACUGCAUUUGAAACUUCCAAACUAGAAUACUGAAGGGGCAGAUGGAAUUAGUGGUGUAGGGGUAAAAUCCGUAGAUAUCACUAGGAAUACCGAAAGCGAAAGCGAUCUGCUGGGAAGUUAUUGACGCUGAGGCACGAAAGCGUGGGGAGCAAACGGGAUUAGAUACCCCGGUAGUCCACGCCCUAAACGAUGAAUGCUAGUCGUCGGAAAGCUCGUCUUUUCGGUGAUGCAGUUAACACAUUAAGCAUUCCGCCUGGGGAGUACGGUCGCAAGAUUAAAACUCAAAGGAAUAGACGGGGACCCGCACAAGUGGUGGAGCAUGUGGUUUAAUUCGAAAAUACGCGAAGAACCUUACCUAGCCUUGACAUUGAUAGAAUCUGAUAGAGAUAUCGGAGUGCCUGCUUGCAGGAGCUUGAAAACAGGUGCUGCACGGCUGUCGUCAGCUCGUGUCGUGAGAUGUUGGGUUAAGUCCCGCAACGAGCGCAACCCUCGUCGUUAGUUGCUAACAGUUCGGCUGAGCACUCUAGAGAGACUGCCUUCGCAAGGAGGAGGAAGGUGAGGAUGACGUCAAGUCAGCAUGGCCUUUAUGUCCAGGGCUACACACGUGCUACAAUGGAUGGUACAGAGGGUUGCAAUACCGCGAGGUGGAGCCAAUCCUUAAAACCAUUCUCAGUUCGGAUUGCAGGCUGCAAUUCGCCUGCAUGAAGCUGGAAUUGCUAGUAAUCGCUGAUCAGCUACGCAGCGGUGAAUGCGUUCUCGGGUCUUGUACACACCGCCCGUCACAUCACGAAAGCUGGUGGCGCCAGAAGUCGCUGGUCUAACCUGUUCUGCAGGAGGAAGGCGCCGAAGGUGCUGCUAGUGAUUGGGGUGAAGUCGUAACAAGGUA